CAGGGAAGAGCAGCACAGAAUAAUGUUUCAGAAUGAUGACCUUAACAAAAGGAGUCAGAUGAUAAGUAAGCCAGAGAACUAACAGGACAGAAUGGUCUGGAAGCCAGCCACACUUUCCCCACUCCCUUGGACUCAGUUGUUGGGUCAUGCCCUUGAGUUCAUCCUAAGAAGCAACUGCUGAAGCCCUGGUCUUUGGUUUUACAUCGUUUUUCAUUCUUGGGUUUUGUUUUUGUUUUUUGUUUUUUGUUUUUUGUUUUUUGUUUUUUGUUUGGACCUUCAUGCAUCAGCGUCUUCUCCUGGAGUAAAAUAGAACACAUGCCCCGGCACUGCCUUCCAAGGGGUUCAAACAGUCUUCAGCAUGGAGCCAAAGUACAUCAUAUACAAGGAUCAGUGUUCAAGAUGGGAUGGCUCCCCUUUACUGUAUCUGGCAAAGCCCCAUCUGGUGAAAGACCGUGUCUCUUCCUCAGACUCCACUUGCACCUCAGCAGCAGGCUGUUGUCAAAAUAACACCGGAGACUAUACUGAUGGGCUUCCUUCAAAUACGCGAUCGGAUCAGAAACUCCUGUGGGCUCACCAGAUGUCAGGAGCGAUGGGACACCAGAGGCGGAAGAACCUAUGUCCCCAGGCUACAGCAAAGCUCCCAGCCCUAUGAAAAUCAUCUAGCCUGCUCUGAGCCACAUGCCUAGAGGUCACAGAGGCAUGCGGGAAAGUGAGAGGAAGUGGAAACGUGCUACAAAAAGGGCUCAAAGCAAUGUGCUCACCACCGGAAAAAAAAAUAAAAAUAA
rnacentral:lncRNA from 1 species